UGGGGAAUUUUGGACAAUGGGCGAAAGCCUGAUCCAGCAAUGCCGCGUGUGUGAAGAAGGCCUUCGGGUUGUAAAGCACUUUUGUCCGGAAAGAAAUCCUUGGCUCUAAUACAGUCGGGGGAUGACGGUACCGGAAGAAUAAGCACCGGCUAACUACGUGCCAGCAGCCGCGGUAAUACGUAGGGUGCAAGCGUUAAUCGGAAUUACUGGGCGUAAAGCGUGCGCAGGCGGUUUGCUAAGACCGAUGUGAAAUCCCCGGGCUCAACCUGGGAACUGCAUUGGUGACUGGCAGGCUAGAGUAUGGCAGAGGGGGGUAGAAUUCCACGUGUAGCAGUGAAAUGCGUAGAGAUGUGAAGGAAUACCGAUGGCGAAGGCAGCCCCCUGGGCCAAUACUGACGCUCAUGCACGAAAGCGUGGGGAGCAAACAGGAUUAGAUACCCUGGUAGUCCACGCCCUAAACGAUGUCAACUAGUUGUUGGGGAUUCAUUUCCUUAGUAACGUAGCUAACGCGUGAAGUUGACCGCCUGGGGAGUACGGUCGCAAGAUUAAAACUCAAAUGAAUUG
rnacentral:rRNA from 1 species